rnacentral:lncRNA from 1 species
AUUAUUUCUGAGCAUUAGCACCACGUUGAUGCUCUCAAAAAUCACACUGGCUGCUAUUCCCCUUGGACAGUGUCUCAGCCACCAACUCUAAAUGCCUUCAGAUGUUCAAGUCAGCAGAUCAAGCACCCUCCUCAUUGGCCAUGGUGUUGUCAGCUCGUCAGCAAGUGUUUACGGCAUGUCCCCUGGGUGCCAUCUCUGCGCCAGGUGCUCUGUGCUCCUGGCUUAUAUGUGUGAAGAAAACAGUUAAUUGACUGCUGGACGUGCUGUUCUGGAAGGGUUCUGAUGCUUUGCUAGAGAACCAGCCAGUAAGAUGGGGUCUCUCUAGAACGGUGUGGAUCCCCCAGACACACAAGUACUCGGAUGUCCAAAAGGAAUGUAAGUAACACUGAGGCUUCAGGCUAUGGCGGCGGCUGGACUUGUGUUUAAGGGAAAUAGUAUUUAUUGGGCACUCUGAUGUCAGAUACUGAACAUACGUUAUCUUCUAUCCCUAAGGAAUUAACCUUAUUCUGAAGAUGGGAAAACUGAACAGCAGAGAUUAAAUACCUUUCUGGAUCAGUCAAAUUCUGGUUUGCAAGCUCAGAAGAUUACUUUGGCUGAUAAAGCAGAAACAGAAUACUGGAAGGCUUUGGGGAAGCUCACCGAGAACCAUGGCUAGGCCUCCAGAGUAUGCCUGCAUGUCUGCAGAACUGGUCCGAGGAGCAAAGCACCGCCACUCUUACAGAGCACUAGCUGCCAGGAUCAGGACCACUGCCAUUUUUGCGCAGCCUUUGCAGGAGACCUGGAACAUGCAGCCUGACAGAAUCUACAGUGGCGAGGAAACGAGAGAGGAACACAGAGGAAAAGGAGCUGAUGUAUUAUUUACAGGUGGAGAACUUGAACAAAGCAGACUGUGGGAAUGGGCGCAAAGACAUGUGUCUGUACAGCUGUGGAAUAAAGACACACAUCUGAAUUCUUGCUGCUGCUCCUUUGCUGCUGGGGACCCCUGCCAGUGCCGGGCCAGCGUGCAUGCAUCUCAGCGCAUCGCUGUGCUCCAAUCUGCCCUGCCACCGUUAGCCU